ACUCGUCAACCAGUAAUAUUAUGUUUUAAUGACCAUAAUAUCACUGGCUUACGGGAAA
rnacentral:pre_miRNA from 1 species